AGGAAGAGGAAAAGGCUUCAGAACUGAACGAACACAGAUCUUCUACAGACUGAGAGACGAGAUCAGAAAGCGGACACACAGCUCCAGAGUGGUAGUAAACAAACAGUCAAAGGAAAUCUAGUUGCCACAUCUAGAAAUGGCAGAGGAAAAACAACCGAACAUAUUGCCCCCCCUCAUCCCCUAUCCUGAGGGGAUGACAGAUGAAAAGGAAAAGAAAAAAUUUAAAAAAAACAUUUUGAAGGGAAAUCCUGAGACUUUAUAUCGUGAUGAAAGAAAAAAUGCUCCGUGCGACUUCAUUUUCUACACAACAAAUGUUUCUACAUGGGAAGAGGAAAUACUGAAACACUAUCCUGAGGGAAAACAGUGGAGAAAAAUUCAAGAUGGCAAACAACUGAAAACGAAGGCAGGCACUAUAAAUGUGUAUGAUACUGGGACAAUCAUGGUGCAGGGUAAUAGUGAGACGUUAAUGAUAUUCUCAAAUGAUUUCCCAGCCUUGAGAGAGAGAGUGAGACAGAGCGUCGGGACGACAGAUGAUGUCUUGAAGAAAAUGGCAGAGCUAGACAUUGAGGAAAGAGGAGAGCAGAGGAAAAGAGAGAGCGAGGACAUAAAAGAGGAAGACAUAAAAGAGGAAGACAUAAAAGAGGAAGAAAUAAAAGAGGAAGACAUAAAAGAGGAAGAGGUGGAAGGAGGUAACGGGAAGCACUGAACAUUCCAGGGCAGAUCAGAAGAGAAACAUUAUUUUACGGGAUGUAUAAUUUGACGAACAGUUAUAAUAAAGCCUGCUGUUCCUCUCACCUUAUUAUUUGAAUGUUGUAUCUUUUACCUUUUAAUGUUUGUUUUUUGAGCUUGUAUGAAAAAUGCAUUCAUAAGUGCUCACCAUCAUCAUUAUCUUGCUUUGGUUAUAGUUUCACUUUCCCAAUGAUAAAGGUGCUUAAAGCAAAAAGGUGGUGGUCCCUGUGAAUUUCCCCAGCAAUAUGUGUUUCAUAUUGUUUCAAAAUGUGUGUUCUAAAAUGUAUCAAGAUUUUAAACGCAAUUCUAAUAAAGUUUGAUUUAACAAGU